UCGUUGUUGUUGAAGUUCAGGAAGACCAGUUGUGUGAGGUUCCUGAAGAUGUGCUGUGGAAUAUCCCUGAGGUUGAUGCUCUCCAAGUUCAGAUUCACGAGAUUCGGCAUUUUCUCGAACACGUCCCAGGUGAAAGCGAGGUUGGCAUUGUAACCCAUACUGAGGGUUUUCAGGGAAUUGGAAAUGAACUUUUCGAGGGUUGGUAGCUGGUUAUUGUCAAGCAACAGAAUCUCAAGAUUGACAUACAAAGUCAUGGACUCGAAGGGAAAAUCAUUUAUCUUGUUGUCUUGAAGGUUUAGUUGUUUGAGCGUGUCGUAGGAGUAGCUGAAGACACUUUC